GGUAGUUCAGUUGGUUAGAAUACCGGCCUGUCACGCCGGGGGUCGCGGGUUCGAGUCCCGUCCA
rnacentral:tRNA from 3 species